UACGAAGGGGGCUAGCGUUGUUCGGAAUUACUGGGCGUAAAGGGCGCGUAGGCGGCCUACUAAGUCGGACGUGAAAUCCCUCGGCUCAACCGAGGAACUGCGUCCGAUACUGGCAGGCUGGAAUCCGGGAGAGGGAUGUGGAAUUCCAGGUGUAGCGGUGAAAUGCGUAGAUAUCUGGAGGAACACCGGUGGCGAAGGCGGCAUCCUGGACCAACACUGACACUGAGGAGCGAAAGCCAGGGGAGCAAACGGG
rnacentral:rRNA from 1 species